UACGGAGGGUGCAAGCGUUGCUCGGAAUUAUUGGGCGUAAAGGGUGCGUAGGCGGGUCUUUAAGUCAGGGGUGAAAUCCUGGAGCUCAACUCCAGAACUGCCUUUGAUACUGAAGAUCUUGAGUUCGGGAGAGGUGAGUGGAACUGCGAGUGUAGAGGUGAAAUUCGUAGAUAUUCGCAAGAACACCAGUGGCGAAGGCGGCUCACUGGCCCGAUACUGACGCUGAGGCACGAAAGCGUGGGGAGCAAACAGG
rnacentral:rRNA from 1 species